UGGGGAAUUUUGGACAAUGGGGGAAACCCUGAUCCAGCCAUCCCGCGUGUGCGAUGAAGGCCUUCGGGUUGUAAAGCACUUUUGGCAGGAAAGAAACGUCAUGGGUUAAUACCCCGUGAAACUGACGGUACCUGCAGAAUAAGCACCGGCUAACUACGUGCCAGCAGCCGCGGUAAUACGUAGGGUGCAAGCGUUAAUCGGAAUUACUGGGCGUAAAGCGUGCGCAGGCGGUUCGGAAAGAAAGAUGUGAAAUCCCAGAGCUCAACUUUGGAACUGCAUUUUUAACUACCGGGCUAGAGUGUGUCAGAGGGAGGUGGAAUUCUGCGUGUAGCAGUGAAAUGCGUAGAUAUUCGGAGGAACACCGAUGGCGAAGGCAGCCUCCUGGGAUAACACUGACGCUCAUGCACGAAAGCGUGGGGAGCAAACAGG
rnacentral:rRNA from 1 species